CUGCAGCUCGAGUGGUGAUCAUUAUUAUUGGGCCUAAAACGUUCGUAGCCUGUCUUAUAAAUGCCUGGGUAAAUCGUGCCGCUUAACGGUACGAAUUCCGGGUAGACUGUAAGACUUGAGACCGGGUGAGGCUAGAGGUACUCCCGGGGUAGAGGUGAAAUUCUGUAAUCCUAGGGGGACCACCAGUGGCGAAGGCGUCUAGCUAGAACGGGUCUGACGGUGAGGAACGAAGCCCUGGGGCGCAAACCGGAUUAGAUACCCGAGUAGUCC
rnacentral:rRNA from 1 species